UGGUGGUGAAACGCUCAUCCCAGCGGCAGCAUGGGCUAGUGUCACAGGGUCUAGUCAGAAAGGGAUCUUAGUGGCUGAACCCAUAACAAUUUAAGCAACUAAGUAAUAAUUGCACCAGAUUAUAAACGAAAUAAAGUAGCCAUUUAGCUGGGAUGGUAGCCCACACAGGUAAUGCCAGCGUUUGAAAGGUGGAAGCAGUAGGAUCCUGGGUUCAAGGUCAACCUGGACUACAUGAAUUAAUGAAGCAACAGCUCAAGCAAGAGACGGCGAGAAAACAGGAGGGUAUGAAAAGUGAGACGACAGGAUGCAGGAAGGAGUCAGGCAAAGCUCACUUGCAGCCUAGCCAUGCAGAGAAGGAGACAGCAGCGUGAAAGUCAUCUGCUCCCCACUGCGGAGGCACCUCUUCCCUGUCUGAGGAGCACAGGUGUGAUCAAGGCAUCCUGAUCCUGGCUUGCCGAUUACAUGGAUGAUCCCGGAAUCUGCUUGCUGGAUUUUUGAAGCGAUCUCUUGUCAGUUCCUUUGCUGUGCCAGUUCUUGGGUGUAGUUCUGGGAGGCAGAAGCUUCCGAUUUCGAAGCCAAGUUUCUAAGCGCUAACUUCAUCUUGGAUUCCUUUUCUGAUUUCAAUCCCUAUAGUUGUUCCUAUUGUCAGCAAGUUAGGUCUGCCUGAAAUUUUGCUAGAGAAAGGGAUAGAAAAGAAAUGGACUAGACAGAGCUGUGUGCCAGAGGAAGGGAGGAGGCCAAUUAAAGAGGAGGCCAGUGUCACAGUGGGGAGGAGAAGGACACAGGAAAAGAAAACAUGGACAGAAACAGAAACGCAAGGAAGGUGCACAGGUAAUCAGAAGGCGUCUUCACGUGAACCCUGAAAGAUGUAAAUUAGUGAAAAAGGGAGUCAAGAUGAGACCUGGAAGUGGGAUCUGGGAGGCAAGUAUACAGACCUGUAAUCCUAGCAUCAGGAAACCGGAAGAAGAAAAACAAAAGCUCUAGACCAGCCUGGGUUAUAUAGCAAGACGUGUCCCCUCCCCCCCCAAAAAAAAAAGAGGAGAAAGGAGGAAGAGAGGAAAGGAAAGAGAGGGAAAGGGAAAAGGAAGGAAGUGGGAAGAAACCAGUCUAUUCCUGCAUUGCUAGCCCACAGUCUGAAGUUGAGGGGCAGUUUGAUAACAAAACUGAAGCUUGGUCUACCGUGGCGGAAAUUUGGUAUGAGGUUAGUGGGAGAUGAAUGGAAUGUUACUCUGAAUCUUCAACAAUGACGCAUAAGGGUGAAGAGCCUAUCAAUCAGGUCCAGGCUCGUGAGAGCUAGGAGCGUUUGCUGUGAAUAAAGUGAUCUCAGCAUAUAAAGCAGCUGGCAAUGUAGCCCACUGGGGAGAGAGCUGAGCUGGCAUGCCAAGGGCCUGGGUCUGCCCAGCCCUUCCUGCAGGGCAGUGGUAGAGGCACACAGACCUGUAAUCUCACCCGCUCCAGAUGCGGAAGCUGGAGGAUAAAGAGCUGGUAUCAGACUUCCCCAGGCCCACCUGGCUGAAUCUCAAAAACACACAAAGCACCGCCCACAAACAGUACAUUGGAAUGGCUUUUGCAGCUUUUGACAGUUGUUGUUAUUGUUGUUCAAAUAGACCAAUGAGAAGGUUUGGCAACAGAACAAGGGAGGUGAGAUUAUAAUGAUUCUAUUUAUAAGUCAGAAAAGUUUCCUGGGAUAUUUCUAGACUAUGGAGAACUUGGCAGGAAGCAAAAAAACACAAGAGCUAGGACCUUGAACUAUGUACAUGCAAUUAAUUAAAUAACCAGUGCGCCCACCUGGACUGGAGGCUGUGACUGACUCGCUUUGAGCUGCCAAGUGAAUGCCCAUGGGCAGAGGACGGAGGACAUUUAUAGCUCUUGGCA